rnacentral:rRNA from 1 species
UACGUAGGCAGCAAGCGUUGUUCGGAGUUACUGGGCGUAAAGGGCGCGUAGGCGGCCUGCUAAGUCGAACGUGAAAUCCCCGGGCUCAACCCGGGAACUGCGUCCGAUACUGGCAGGCUUGAAUCCGGGAGAGGGAUGCGGAAUUCCAGGUGUAGCGGUGAAAUGCGUAGAUAUCUGGAGGAACACCGGUGGCGAAGGCGGCAUCCUGGACCGGCAUUGACGCUGAGGCGCGAAAGCUAGGGGAGCAAACGGG